rnacentral:rRNA from 1 species
UGGUAGUCCACGCUGUAAACGAUGUCGACUUGGAGGUUGUUCCCUUGAGGAGUGGCUUCCGGAGCUAACGCGUUAAGUCGACCGCCUGGGGAGUACGGCCGCAAGGUUAAAACUCAAAUGAAUUGACGGGGGCCCGCACAAGCGGUGGAGCAUGUGGUUUAAUUCGAUGCAACGCGAAGAACCUUACCUACUCUUGACAUCCAGAGAACUUAGCAGAGAUGCUUUGGUGCCUUCGGGAACUCUGAGACAGGUGCUGCAUGGCUGUCGUCAGCUCGUGUUGUGAAAUGUUGGGUUAAGUCCCGCAACGAGCGCAACCCUUAUCCUUUGUUGCCAGCGAUUCGGUCGGGAACUCAAAGGAGACUGCCAGUGAUAAACUGGAGGAAGGUGGGGAUGACGACAAGUCAUCAUGGCCCUUACGAGUAGGGCUACACACGUGCUACAAUGGCAUAUACAAAGAGAAGCGACCUCGCGAGAGCAAGCGGACCUCAUAAAGUAUGUCGUAGUCCGGAUUGGAGUCUGCAACUCGACUCCAUGAAGUCGGAAUCGCUAGUAAUCGUGGAUCAGAAUGCCACGGUGAAUACGUUCCCGGGCCUUGUACACACCGCCCGUCACACCAUGGGAGUGGGUUGCAAAAGAAGUAGGUAGCUUAACCUUCGGGAGGGCGCUUACCACUUUGUGAUUCAUGACUGGGGUGAAGUCGUAACAAGGUACCAAGGGCGAA